rnacentral:rRNA from 1 species
AGCGAACGCUGGCGGCAGGCCUAACACAUGCAAGUCGAACGAACUCUUCGGAGUUAGUGGCGGACGGGUGAGUAACACGUGGGAACGUGCCUUUUGGUUCGGAAUAACUCAGGGAAACUUGUGCUAAUACCGAAUGUGCCCUUCGGGGGAAAGAUUUAUCGCCAUUAGAGCGGCCCGCGUCUGAUUAGCUAGUUGGUGAGGUAACGGCUCACCAAGGCGACGAUCAGUAGCUGGUCUGAGAGGAUGACCAGCCACACUGGGACUGAGACACGGCCCAGACUCAUACGGGAGGCAGCAGUGGGGAAUCUUGCGCAAUGGGCGAAAGCCUGACGCAGCCAUGCCGCGUGAAUGAUGAAGGUCUUAGGAUUGUAAAAUUCUUUCACCGGGGACGAUAAUGACGGUACCCGGAGAAGAAGCCCCGGCUAACUUCGUG